rnacentral:tRNA from 1 species
UGGGGGAUGGUCUAAUGGUAAGGCGGCGGACUCUGACUCCGCUUAUCGAGGUUCGAAUCCUCGUCCCCCAGCCA